UGGGGAAUAUUGCACAAUGGGCGCAAGCCUGAUGCAGCCAUGCCGCGUGUAUGAAGAAGGCCUUCGGGUUGUAAAGUACUUUCAGCGGGGAGGAAGGUGUUGAGGCUAAUAACCUCAGCAAUUGACGUUACCCGCAGAAGAAGCACCGGCUAACUCCGUGCCAGCAGCCGCGGUAAUACGGAGGGUGCAAGCGUUAAUCGGAAUUACUGGGCGUAAAGCGCACGCAGGCGGUCUGUCAAGUCGGAUGUGAAAUACCCGGGCUCAACCUGGGAACUGCAUUCGAAACUGGCAGGCUAGAGUCUUGUAGAGGGGGGUAGAAUUCCAGGUGUAGCGGUGAAAUGCGUAGAGAUCUGGAGGAAUACCGGUGGCGAAGGCGGCCCCCUGGACAAAGACUGACGCUCAGGUGCGAAAGCGUGGGGAGCAAACA
rnacentral:rRNA from 1 species